CAAUCACUGUCCCAGGCUGGAGUUCUGACUUGGAUUCAAGUCCCAGUUCUUCUUCCUUGGGUGCUGCUCACUUUCCCUGGACUUUGGGCUCCACCGAAGCUCCUUCCUUUCCUCAAGUCUCAAGUUCAGGUUGUUCCGCUCUCAAUCUAUGCUGCUGUUGACUGUUCAUUCCUAGCAAUGCCUAGCCAUCAAUGAGAUCCAAGUGUGGACGCUGCACUGCCCUUGAUGGUUAACCAAGGUUUGUUGUAACAAGCCAGGUAGCAGGAGAACCAGGAGAGAGCAGAAUUACAGAAACCCAGAAAGAGAGAAUAUCCAGGAAGACUGGAGAAUUGACAGUGUCAAAACAGCAAAGAGCUGGAAACUGAAGGGAAGUGCAUCAGUUGGGGAAUGGAGGAACAAAGUGUGGUAUAUGAUGGUGAUGGAGUACUCCUGUGCUAUAAGAAAUGAGAAGCAAGAAGAUGUCAGAAAAAGCUUGAAAGAACUGCAGGAACUGAUGCAGAGUGAAAUGAACAGAACCAAGAGAACAUUGUCAGUAACAGCAGCAUUGUACAAUGAUCAACUGGGAAAACUUGGCGACUCUUAGCAGUGUGAUGAUCUGGGACAAUUCUGAAAGAUGUGAUGGCGAAUGUAGACUCUCUUCCACAUCAGAGCACUUAUGUUUCUAUUUUACAGUUUUGGAUACUAUGAGUGUGCUUUUACAACAGUGACCUAUAUGGAAAUAGGUUUUGCAUGAUAAUAAAAAUUAGAAAAAAAUCCUUACUGCUCCAUUGAAAUGAGUGGGUAUACAUAUGUAUGCUUCCGCCAUAUUCUUCCACUGGAAAUCCAUCAAUGAUUUGACCUCCGCUGAACUCCUUGGAGGUAGCCUCCAUUAUUAGAAGCCAAUGGGGAGGGUGCAACUGGGUGGUUCAGUGGAUUGAGAGUCAGGCCCAGAGACAGGAGGUCUUGGAUUCAAAUCUGGACUUAGACACUUCCCAGCUGUGUGACCCUGGGCAAGUCACUUAACCCCCAUUGCCUAGCCUUUACCACUCUUCUGCCUUAGAACUGAUAUUCAGUAUUGAUUCUAAGACGGAAGGUAAGGGUUUAAAAGGUUUUAAAAAAAAGAAAAAAAGAAACCAAUGGAGGAGGAAAUGGAAUUGGUCAAGUAUUUUUCUCUUGAUCUAAAUGAACAUAUCCCCAUGGAAUAUGGACCUGUCCACUGGUCCCUUCAUUAGAGGACAAUAGACCACUCUUGAUUGGUGACUGGAGGACUAUAACAUUUUGAGAAAAGCUAAAAAAAGGCUGCUUAUUGGAGAGGGGGAAAAAGAAGGGACUAGUCUUUCUGUCUUAUAAUUGAUUAAAACAUCAGUUCCAAUACUCAUAUUGGAUGCAACUUAUAUGAGUAUUGGUUCUGAGGUAGAAGAGUGAUAAGGUCUAGGCAAUUGGGGUUAAAUGACUUGCCCAGGGUCACACAGCUAGGAAGUAUCUAAAAUGAGAUUGGAACUCUGGUCCUUCUGACUCCAGAUCUGGCACUCUAUCCACUGUGCUACAUAGCUGUCCUGAGAAGGGACUUGUCUUGAGGAGAAAAAGAAAAAAGUUAUUUUAAUGAGACUUGAAUCAUGGUUCAUCUUGUCUGUUUCCAGACAAGUGAAAAGGAGUCAUCUCCUGACAUAUUAAGAGUCAAGGUGACUCGGACUGUGACACUGGCCUUAGCCAAAGUAUUAGAGAUGGUUUUAUAGACCUACGUUUAUCAUAUGUCCAUUUGUUAAAAUCUGGUAUACGUGGGGGCAGCUGGGUGGCUCAGUGGAUUGGGAGCCAGGUCUAGAGAAGGGAUGUCCUGGGUUCAAAUGUGGCCUCAGACACUUCCCAGCUGUGUGACCCUGGGCAAGUCACUUGACCCCCAUUGCCUAACCCUUACCACUCUUCUGCCUUGGAGCCAAUACACAGUAUUGAUUCUAAGACAGAAGGUGAGGGUUUACAAAAAAUCGUAAUUUUAAU